rnacentral:rRNA from 1 species
CUACGUGCCAGCAGCCGCGGUAAUACGUAGGGUGCAAGCGUUAAUCGGAAUUACUGGGCGUAAAGAGUGCGCAGGCGGUUUUGCAAGACCGAUGUGAAAUCCCCGGGCUCAACCUGGGAACUGCGUUCUGAACUGGGUGACUAGGGUGUGUCAGAGGGAGGUAGAAUUCCACGUGUAGCAGUGAAAUGCGUAGAGAUGUGGAGGAAUACCGAUGGCGAAGGCAGCCUCCUGGGAUAACACUGACGUUCAUGCUCGAAAGCGUGGGUAGCAAACAGGAUUAGAUACCCUGGUAGUCCACGCCCUAAACGAUGUCAAUUAGCUGUUGGGCAACUUGAUUGCUUAGUAGCGUAGCUAACGCGUGAAAUUGACCGCCUGGGGAGUACGGUCGCAAGAUUAAAACUCAAAGGAAUUGACGGGGACCCGCACAAGCGGUGGAUGAUGUGGAUUAAUUCGAUGCAACGCGAAGAACCUUACCUGGUCUUGACAU